UGUCAGCUGUCGUAGUCGAAACAGGAUUGAUUAUUUUAUUUUUUUAGGGUUUUCGCAGUUUUUAAUCACAUAUCAAAAUAAAUUUAUAGAACAUACAAACGAAUUUAAAAAUUCUAUCUGAAUCCUUCCUACAAAAUAUUUAUUUAUAAAAUCACAAAUUGCGAAAAUGUAUAAAAACGAAUGAAGUAGAUACCAUGAUUAUUAGACAUUUUAGACGUUGACGUUGUGUAAUAUUAAUAAGAAUAUAAUUAUUUUUAAUGAAAAGACACUAUGUUACAAAUAAUAAGAACUGUACAUUUAGUGAGUAGGAGAACAUUUAAAAAUUUUGGUCAUAAAAGAGAACCAAUACCGAUGGUCACUACUCUUUGGCAUGGAUUCCUAACAUUUACUUUCAUUGGAUUUGGAAUUGAGUGGAAAAGAAUAUCAAAAUUCUUUUUUGGUGAAGAGCAUACUGGAUCUGAGGAAGAAAUAUUUGAUGUUGUCAAUAAUUCCAGUAUAAAUUAAGAUGUAUGAGCUUUUGACUUUUGUUUAUAUUUAGAUAUUAUAUUAAUACAAAUAUUCUUAAACAAUUAGAAAAAAAAUUAAAUUAUUGAAAUGUAACAGCUAGUAGGUUUUUAUUUAAAAAAUAAUAAAUGCUUAUAUGACAGAUUUGGAAUAUUUUAAAAUUUUA